rnacentral:rRNA from 1 species
GCGAAAACUUUACACUGCGCGAAAGCGCGAUAAGGGGACCUCGAGUGCGUGCGCAAUGCGUACGCUUUUCAGAUGCCUAAAAAGCAUGUGGAAUAAGGGCCGGGCAAGACCGGUGCCAGCCGCCGCGGUAACACCGGCGGCUCAAGUGGUGGCCGCUAUUAUUGGGCUUAAAGGGUCCGUAGCCGGACCAGUUAGUCCCUUGGGAAAUCUUACGGCUUAACCGUAAGGCUGCCAAUGGAUACUGCUGGUCUUGGGACCGGGAGAGGUAAGAGGUACUUCAGGGGUAGGAGUGAAAUCCUGUAAUCCUUGAGGGACCGCCAGUGGCGAAGGCGUCUUACUAGAACGGGUCCGACGGUGAGGGACGAAAGCUAGGGGCACGAACCGGAUUAGAUACCCGGGUAGUCCUAGCCGUAAACGAUGCGAGCUAGGUGUCACGUGGAUUGCGAAUCCAUGUGGUGCCGAAGGGAAACCGUGAAGCUCGCCGCCUGGGAAGUACGGCCGCAAGGCUGAAACU